GACGAACGCUGGCGGCGUGCCUAAUACACGCAAGUCGAGCGCAGGAAACUGACGGAACUCUUCGGAGGGAAGGCAGCGGAAUGAGCGGCGGACGGGUGAGUAACACGUAAGGAACCUGCCUCAAGGAUUGGGAUAACUCCGAGAAAUCGGAGCUAAUACCGGAUAGUUCAUCGGACCGCAUGGUCCGUUGAUGAAAGGCGCUCCGGCGUCACCUUGAGAUGGCCUUGCGGUGCAUUAGCUAGUUGGUGGGGUAACGGCUCACCAAGGCGACGAAGCAUAGCCGACCUGAGAGGGUGAGCGGCCACGCUGGGACUGAGACACGGCCCAGACUCCUACGGGAGGCAGCAGUAGGGAAGCUUCCACAAUGGACGAAAGUCUGAUGGAGCAAAGCCGCGUGAGUGAUGAAGGUUUUCGGAUCGUAAAACUCUGUUGUAAGGGAAGAACACGUACGAGAGGAAAUGCUCGUACCUUGACGGUACCUUACGAGAAAGCCACGGCUAACUACGUGCCAGCCGCCGCGGUAAUAC
rnacentral:rRNA from 1 species